AGGAGAUGCUGAUUGGCCAGGGCUAUGUUGGACUUGUGCUGGCUCUGCCCCUGAUCUGCCUAGUUGACAGUCUCAGGCAAUCCUAUGGGGAAGUAUUGUAAUUUGCUCAGACCACCACUUCUGAGCCAGCAGCUGCAGAAUUGAAUACAAGUAAUAUUUUACUAUAUUUAGGGAGGCAAGAAGGGGCCAGGGUGGUGGUUUUAACAUAAUAGGGUAAUAAAUACAUGAUUGUGUUCCUGACACUAUAGUGCUCCUUUAAGCAAGAGUAUGUGAAGAGUAGUUAAGGUUGCCACCUUUCUUGGAAAAAAAUACCGGCCUUAAUCAUUUGUAUAAUUAAUUAGUUAUGCAUGUAAAUCACAAGGAGUGACAUCAGAGAAAAUUCUGUAAAAUCACCAACAAACUACUCACAGUUUGAUUCUGCUGUAUAGAUGGAUUGCUCCCAGUGUCUCACUGUCUCCCAGUGUCUCAGUCUUGCAAGUCACCCAGUGUCUCAGUGUCCCUAUGUAUCACAGUGUCAGUGUCCCCAUCUCGCCCAGUCCCCUAGUCUCCCAAUGUCUCAGUGUGUCCCCAUGUCACUAGGAUACUGGGGACACUGAGAGACAUGGGGACACUGGGAGACACAUGGGGACACAGACAUUUAGGGAAACUGGGAGAAAUGGGGAAACUGAGACACUAGGGACACAGACACUGGGAGACAUGGGGACACUGAAACAUUUGGGGACACUAAGACACUAGGGACACAGACAUGGGAACACAGACAUUGGGAGACUAGGGGACACUGGCUGGGAGACAGACACUUGGGGACACUGGGAGACAUGGGGACAGUUGUGGACAUAGACAUGUGGACACUGGGACAUAUAGGGACUCUGGGAGACAUGGGGACACCAGGCACACUGAGACACUAAGAACACAGACACUGGGAGACAUGGAGACACUGAAACAUUUGGAGACACUAGGGACACAGACACUGGGAGAUUAGGGGAUACUGGGAGACUACGGAACACUGGCUGGGAGACAGACACUUGGGGAGACAUGGGGACAGUUGUGGACAUAGACAUGGGGACAUUGGGACACAUGGGGACACUAGGCACACUGAAAGACAUGGGACAGACACUGGGAGACUUGUGGACACUGAGAUCCUAGGGACACUGGCUGGGGGACAUAGUGUCUCCGUGUCCCAAUGUCUCCAAAUGUCCCUAUGUCUCACAGCGUCCCAAUGUGUCUCAGCAUCCCCAUGUGUCCCCUGGUGUCUCAGUGUCCCCAUGUUUUCCAGUGUCUGUGUCCCCAGGUCUCACAGUGUCUGUGUCCCCAUGUGUCCUAGUGUCUCAGUGUCCCCUAGUGUCUGUGUUCCCAUGUGUCCCCUAGUGUCUGUGUCCCCAUGUGUCUCAGUGUCCCCAAGUGUCUCAGUGUUCCCAGGUCUCCCAGUGUCUGUGUCCUAGUGUCUCAGUGUCCCCUAGAGUAUGUGUCAUCAUGUGUCCCCUAGUGUCUGUGUCCCCUAGUGUCUCAGUGUCCCCAUGUGUCCCUGCUGCCCUUCCCCCCAUCCCUCACUUACCUGAGCUGUACAGCUGCUGUCUGGACUCUCUGUGCUGUGUUGCUGCUCCCCCAUGGAUCAGUGAGUAGUAGAGAGAGGCAGGGAUAUUCUGUAACUUCCUAUCCCUGCCUGUCCCCACACACAGUGACCCCUACUGGCCGGUGCUGGUAUUGCAGAGUAAUUUCCAUUUAUUCUGAGAAAAUUACCUGCAUUUGUAUUGCCGGUAUU